rnacentral:rRNA from 1 species
UACGAAGGGGGCUAGCGUUGUUCGGAAUUACUGGGCGUAAAGCGCGCGCAGGCGGUCUUCCAAGUCAGUGGUGAAAGCCCGGAGCUCAACUCCGGAACUGCCAUUGAAACUGUUAGACUUGAGGAUGAGAGAGGUGAGUGGAAUUCCCAGUGUAGAGGUGAAAUUCGUAGAUAUUGGGAAGAACACCGGUGGCGAAGGCGGCUCACUGGCUCAUUCCUGACGCUCAGGCGCGAUAGCGUGGGGAGCAAACAGG